GAUGAACGCUGGCGGCAGGCCUAACACAUGCAAGUCGAACGGACCCUUCGGGGUUAGUGGCGGACGGGUGAGUAACACGUGGGAACGUGCCCUUUGGUUCGGAACAACUCAGGGAAACUUGAGCUAAUACCGAAUGUGCCCUUCGGGGGAAAGAUUUAUCGCCAUUGGAGCGGCCCGCGUCUGAUUAGCUAGUUGGUGGGGUAAUGGCCUACCAAGGCGACGAUCAGUAGCUGGUCUGAGAGGAUGAUCAGCCACAUUGGGACUGAGACACGGCCCAAACUCCUACGGGAGGCAGCAGUGGGGAAUCUUGCGCAAUGGGCGAAAGCCUGACGCAGCCAUGCCGCGUGAAUGAUGAAGGUCUUAGGAUUGUAAAAUUCUUUCACCGGGGACGAUAAUGACGGUACCCGGAGAAGAAGCCCCGGCUAACUUCGUGCCAGCAGCCGCAGUAACAC
rnacentral:rRNA from 1 species